rnacentral:rRNA from 1 species
GACGAACGCUGGCGGCGUGCUUAACACAUGCAAGUCGAACGGUAAGGCUCCAGCUUGCUGGGGUACACGAGUGGCGAACGGGUGAGUAACACGUGGGUGACCUGCCCUGCACUUCGGGAUAAGCCUGGGAAACUGGGUCUAAUACCGGAUAGGACCGCACCGUGAGGGUGUGGUGGAAAGUUUUUUCGGUGUGGGAUGGGCCCGCGGCCUAUCAGCUUGUUGGUGGGGUAAUGGCCUACCAAGGCGGCGACGGGUAGCCGGCCUGAGAGGGUGGACGGCCACAUUGGGACUGAGACACGGCCCAGACUCCUACGGGAGGCAGCAGUGGGGAAUAUUGCACAAUGGGCGGAAGCCUGAUGCAGCGACGCCGCGUGGGGGAUGACGGCCUUCGGGUUGUAAACUCCUUUCACCAUCGACGAAGGGUUUCUGACGGUAGAUGGAGAAGAAGCACCGGCUAACUACGUGCCAGCAGCCGCGGUAAUACGUAAGGUGCGAGCGUUGUCCGGAAUUACUGGGCGUAAAGAGCUCGUAGGUGGUUUGUCGCGUCGUCUGUGAAAUUCCGGGGCUUAACUCCGGGCGUGCAGGCGAUACGGGCAUAACUUGAGUACUGUAGGGGAGACUGGAAUUCCUGGUGUAGCGGUGAAAUGCGCAGAUAUCAGGAGGAACACCGGUGGCGAAGGCGGGUCUCUGGGCAGUAACUGACGCUGAGGAGCGAAAGCAUGGGGAGCGAACAGGAUUAGAUACCCUGGUAGUCCAUGCCGUAAACGGUGGGCGCUAGGUGUGGGUUUCCUUCCACGGGAUCCGUGCCGUAGCUAACGCAUUAAGCGCCCCGCCUGGGGAGUACGGCCGCAAGGCUAAAACUCAAAGGAAUUGACGGGGGCCCGCACAAGCGGCGGAGCAUGUGGAUUAAUUCGAUGCAACGCGAAGAACCUUACCUGGGCUUGACAUAUACAGGAUCGCGCCAGAGAUGGUGUUUCCCUUGUGGCUUGUAUACAGGUGGUGCAUGGUUGUCGUCAGCUCGUGUCGUGAGAUGUUGGGUUAAGUCCCGCAACGAGCGCAACCCUUGUCUUAUGUUGCCAGCACGUUGUGGUGGGGACUCGUAAGAAACUGCCGGGGUUAACUCGGAGGAAGGUGGGGAUGACGUCAAAUCAUCAUGCCCCUUAUGUCCAGGGCUUCACACAUGCUACAAUGGUCGGUACAGUGGGUUGCCAGUCCGUGAGGGCGAGCUAAUCCCGCAAAGCCGGUCUCAGUUCGGAUCGGGGUCUGCAACUCGACCCCGUGAAGUCGGAGUCGCUAGUAAUCGCAGAUCAGCAACGCUGCGGUGAAUACGUUCCCGGGCCU